AUUAAGGUGGCAGAGCCAAGUAAUGCAAAAGACCUAAAAUCUUUUUACAGGAAAGCAAAUUUCCUUCUUAAUA
rnacentral:tRNA from 1 species